rnacentral:rRNA from 1 species
GACGAACGCUGGCGGCGUGCCUAAUACAUGCAUGUUGAGCGCUGAAGGUUGGUACUUGUACCAACUGGAUGAGCAGCGAACGGGUGAGUAACGCGUGGGGAAUCUGCCUUUGAGCGGGGGACAACAUUUGGAAACGAAUGCUAAUACCGCAUAAAAACUUUAAACACAAGUUUUAAGUUUGAAAGAUGCAAUUGCAUCACUCAAAGAUGAUCCCGCGUUGUAUUAGCUAGUUGGUGAGGUAAAGGCUCACCAAGGCGAUGAUACAUAGCCGACCUGAGAGGGUGAUCGGCCACAUUGGGACUGAGACACGGCCCAAACUCCUACGGGAGGCAGCAGUAGGGAAUCUUCGGCAAUGGACGAAAGUCUGACCGAGCAACGCCGCGUGAGUGAAGAAGGUUUUCGGAUCGUAAAACUCUGUUGGUAGAGAAGAACGUUGGUGAGAGUGGAAAGCUCAUCAAGUGACGGUAACUACCCAGAAAGGGACGGCUAACUACGUG